rnacentral:tRNA from 1 species
AUAACAAUGAGUUAGUGGUUAAAUGUGUUGUUUGGCAACUAUUAGGUUGUAGGUUCGAAUCCUACUUCAUAUA